rnacentral:rRNA from 1 species
AGCGAACGCUGGCGGCAGGCCUAACACAUGCAAGUCGAACGAAGUCUUCGGACUUAGUGGCGGACGGGUGAGUAACACGUGGGAACGUGCCUUUAGGUUCGGAAUAACUUAGGGCAACUUGUGCUAAUACCGAAUGUGCCCUUCGGGGGAAAGAUUUAUCGCCUUUAGAGCGGCCCGCGUCUGAUUAACUAGUUGGUGAGGUAAAGGCUCACCAAGGCGACGAUCAGUAGCUGGUCUGAGAGGAUGAUCAGCCACAUUGGGACUGAGACACGGCCCAAACUCCUACGGGAGGCAGCAGUGGGGAAUCUUGCGCAAUGGGCGAAAGCCUGACGCAGCCAUGCCGCGUGAAUGAUGAAGGUCUUAGGAUUGUAAAAUUCUUUCACCGGGGACGAUAAUGACGGUACCCGGAGAAGAAGCCCCGGCUAACUUCGUGCCAGCCGCCGCGGUAA